AGAUGCACAGCAUCACCCUUGGAAGGAAAACGUAGCUGGGGUUGCUGGAGAGUCAUUGCCCUUCCUGUCCAUCCAUCCUCACCGAAGUAGUAGGAAACAAGGCUGGAAUGUACUCCUGCCUCUGCUGGAGCUGCUCAGUCAGCCCUAGGCCCACCCGUUCCUCUGCUUUUCUCCAGGAGGCCAUGCUCGAGGACUUCGGGAUGGCUCAGAUUCAUCAGAAAGGAAGCAGCUGAUGUUUUGAAGGCUUUACUUAUGGAUACGGGACUGAAAAAGAGGAUGGGCUCAUCGAUCACAUAUGUGUGUUUUGAAUAGUGUUUGUAUCACUGUGUGACUCAUGGCCAAGCAACACCAAGAGGAAACUGAGAUGACAAAGAUGGACCUUCCUUUCUGGAGGAAGCUUGAAGUCAUUAAAGGAUGUUGGUAAUUUCCCAAAGUUUGCAGAAAAUUUGAAGAACACAUUUGGAGAGCAGAAUUGAAGAAGCCCAGAUCUAACGCCAUAUUUAAGUGCGGACAGCAGCCGUCCACAACUACUACUCACGUCUGGUGAGUUAUGGGGGCACAGAGGAUACUUCCACAAGGAGUCUUCUAGGGACUCUGAAGUCCAGGCAAGAGCCUGAAGACAUCAGGGCGCAGGUGGUGUUAUCAUCAAAGCUGCUGAUUGAAAGCAAAGGCUCCAGAAAAGAAAAGCAGAUUUGGGACAUGAAUAGCUGGUUAAGAAAAUGGUGUCUGAGAAUGUGAUUUAGAUUUCGGCACUGGCUCCCGGCCAGAGAUGGUGUGCACCUCAAAUGGCUGAUAAAAGCGGCUUUACCUGGAUCCUUACCCAUGAGCCUCAGUGAGGCAUGUAUGACGAGUGCAGAGGUGGGAAAACCAGAAUUCCAAUCCCAUCUCAAGACAUUUCUAACUGUGUGUGACUGCACAGGCAACCUCACGAAACUGUUUUCUCCUCUGCGUAAUGAGGCCUAUAACACCUAGAGCAACUUCCUUCCCUACAGAGUUGUUGUGAGGAUCAACUAGGAAGAUUCAGAAGAAUAACAGUGGUGAUUGCCCACAAUUCAUCGGAGCCAAAAUCCAAGAAAGGAGCCAGGAAAAAGAAGAGUAACGGACAUUCAUGGAGUGCUGUUACUGCCCUGCCUUUGAGAGUCAUCGUUUUUUUUUUUAGUGUUCAAAACCCAUUUCCAUAUUAUUCAUAUUUGCAGUAGAGUGAUCCUUUAACAUCAAAACCCCAAUCCUGUCCCCAUCGAGCCCUGUCUGAUUUGAGGGUGAGGACAUAAUCAUAUUUGCAAGCUACAUACUAGUAAUAGCCUUAGAGUGUUGCCUGGGACACUGAAAAUUUUCAUGACUGUCCUACAGUUACAGAGCUAGACUUAGGACACAAGGGGAUUUGAACCCUUCAAGCCACUGACUCCCAAGUCUGCUCUCUACUCCUGGCUGCCUCUUCCAUGCAAAGGAAUACAAAGUCAUUUCAAACGAGAAAACCCUACGUAAUGGAUCAUAAAAAAAUAACAUGAGGAGCAUUUACAUUCCAGGAGAGUGGAGACUGCUGAGGAAAACUCAGGACAGAAAAAAGAAAAGGCUUUAAAAAAGCUUUAUUGUGGAAAAUUAGAUGAUGUGGGGCACCCGCCACCCCCUCCACCCCCCACCCCCAUCCCCGGAUUCUGGGAAUGGAAGGUAACAACAUGGUGCUCAGUAGCCACCAUCUAGAACUGGAAGCGUAAAGCUGAAAGAAUACUGCUUGGGAGUAGGUGGGAUGAUGGUCAUGACCAACACAGAGAAGGCCUGCACCUCUUUGGCUUUUUUUUUCUCUUCUAAGGAGAAUGAUCUCUGCAUUGGAAAUAUUGCUGAGCCUGGGCUGUGUCUGAUGAGUUCAAAUCAGGAGACACAUUAGAUGCCCAUAGCCGCAGCGGAGGAGCUGAAGAAGGCUUUGCCGAGGCCUGGCAGGGAUUCCCGAAAGCUCGUGGAGUGACUUAUGGCCUGGCCAAGCAGUCAGUUAGGUCUCUCCUCGGAUCUCCUCCAUUGGACCCCAGAGAGCACAAAGGAACUCUGCCCCGGAAGUAGAAUUCGUUAACCUGAAACUCGAACACACGGGAUUUUAAUAUUUCGAGAGCUCACUAGGCAAGCACGGGCGAAGGCAAAAGCCUGAGGGGCAUCUUGGGUGAGGGAGCCUUUGAUCCCCAAUAUUGGCUCGGCUCUGUCAGCCUGCAAUUGGCCCCGCCACGUGAAAGAAAGGAGGCGAGCAUGACCGGAAUUUGGUGUGCUGACAGUGCGCUUGUGCGGGACCUUCCUCAGGAUUAUGGGAAAUGAACUGGAAGUGAGCUGGCCCAAACCUGUUCCGGAAGUUCUUCUCUCAGGGAAACCAUACCCAGUGCUCUCGUGACUGGGCUCAAACCACCUCCCCCAACAGGAAGUGACGUUCUUCCAGCUCUGUUACGUAGAGGCCGGAAGUGAGCAAUGCGGAAUCGGAAUCGGAAUCGGGAUCGGGCAAACAGAUCGCGGACCUGUGGAAGUUGGCGGUUCCUUUCCUGAGGAAAAGUGGACCUGAUUGGAAGCAGAAGUAAUAGUUCUCCUUCUCAGAUAUCCUUACGGUGUCUCAUCCACAAGAAAAGAUGGACGUUCAGUGGAGAAGAGCCAUUUGAGUCAUUCCUUAAAAUAACAACAAAACCUAGAGAUGGACGGCCAUGCCACCCUGCACAGAAGCACAAGAAAGAUAAGGAAUGCCCUCUGACCUACAAGUGCUCGGUCAGUUUCUGCCUGAACAGCUCCAUUAAGAAGCUACUUGCUGCAUUUUGAGCCCUGCUUGUUAGGUGGGCUUCUUGCUUGGCUAGGUCAAGUAGAUGACUCCUCAGUGCUUCUGUGGCCCCCGGAAGACGACUAUGAAUUUCACUUGCUGGACCGUGAGGACUUUCUGAUCUUCUGAAGUUCACAGGCUCCUACUGCGGCUUGUUAUGGCUCCAGAUACUCAUUUUACCCGAUUCAGAAGAAGCAAACCCAAGAGCCAAAAGAAACCCUGGGCAUCAUGUGUGCAAAGCCAGGAGCAAACUCAGGAGAAAAUUGGAUGGCUUGGGGAGAGAAGAGAAAAUACGUGCCAUCUGUUCUCAGAGAAAUGGAGAAAGUGCCAGGUGAAUUAAGUGUUUGACAAGAACGUACGGGAAGAAGGAGGAAACUGAGGCAUGGAGAUGGGAAGUAUCUUGCCCCACAGUGAUAUAGCUGAUAAGGCUUCAGAGAUAAAGGUGAGCAUGAUCCCAUCCCUCCUAAUGGCCAGACUUGUUCCCAAGAGCCCUGUGACCGUAUGUCUAGGGACGCGCGGAUGACAGUUCUGUCCCUUCCCCAUCUGCUUUGGAACAAAUGGGCCAGAUAGUUGGUUCUCCAUCAUCUUCUGGGAACCUUCCUUAGUGUCUCCUGGGAGAGGCCACCUUUUUUUCCAACCUUCAACCCCAACAAGUAGCAACAUAGGGUGUUUGCUGCUUACAGCUGCAACUGGGGAGGGAGCUGAAGCCCCCGAGGCUGGCCGUUCUCCUCCCCCCCCCCCCAUGUUCAUUCUGAAGUCUCUUUAGAAGAUAGUAAUGAAAAGUAAUGCUCUUCUUAUUGGCCUAGCACAAAAGAUUCCAUCUGCAUUCUCCCCCUAGUCUGGGGGCUUUUCCUUCUAUGGCCUGACAUGUUCCUGCUUUGCAAGGAUCCGGAUUGAUAAAGGAACCUCUAGCCUCCAACUCUCCCUGAGGAUCCUAAGAACUUUGUUCAAAGAGAAUCCAUUGAGGUCCAUUCUAGCUCUAAAUUGACGAGCUUACAAAUAAUCCUGAGCUUCAGGACCAGCACUUUCCAGCCCAGAUCCCAGGACAGGAGUCAAGGAAAGCUUGGCCCAAAUCCUGGCACUGCCAAUGUGUGACCCUGCCCUAAUUAUUUCAUCACUCUCCUCUGUGGCCUUCUGGGCGAUAAAUGAAGAGCGCUCCCAAAGUUGGGAAGACCAGGCAGCACCACAUGCUGUAACUUUGACUUCCUCCUCUGUGUGCAUCCACAUCCAUGUUGGGAGUGCCAUGUGCCCCUUCUUCCCUAGGUGCCAAUGGGAAGACUUGCACUUGUUUCGGAAGUGCUCCCUGAGAUGCCCAUAAAUUAGGGAAUGGCUGUUGUGGUGUGUGAUUAUGAUGGAAUUCUGUUGUGCUCUAAGAAGUGAUAAACAAGAUGGUUUCAGAAGAACUUGAGAAGCUUUAUAUGAACUAAUGCAAAGCGAAGUGGGCAGAACCAGGAGAGAACUUUGUACACUAUCCAAGACCAUUCCAAAGCACCCAUGAUGCAAACUGCUCCAUCUCCAGAAGGAGAACUGACGAAAUCUGAACACAGACUGAGGCAGUCUUCUUUCACUUUUUAAAUUGCUCUGUGGGUCUUGUGUGUGUCUUGUUUCCACAUGAAUAAUGUGGAAAUGUGUUUUGCAUGAUUUCCUGUGUAUAAACAGGUAUCAUCAUCCUGUUUGCCUUCUCAAGAGGCCUGGGAGGGGUAGGAAAGAGGGAGGGAAUUGGGAACUUGGAAUUAAAAAAAAUGAAUGUUAACAUUUUUAAAAAAUGUAAUCGGGAAGUACUUAAUGGAAUAAAUAAAAACAUUUUUUAACAAAAAAUAAAUGCCCCCCUCCCCCGAAGAAUGUGCCACAAGCUUCCAGUCUUGUUCUACUUCAGUAGAAAUUAAAGUUUUGUUUGUUCC